rnacentral:misc_RNA from 1 species
GUAGGUGAACCUGCGGAAGGAUCAUUAACGAAUAACUAUGGUGUCUUGGCUGUAGCUGGCUCUUCGGAGCAAUGUGCACGCCCGCCAUUUUUAUCUUUCCACCUGUGCACCGACUGUAGGUCUGGAUACCUCUCGUCUCUCUUGAGAGGCGGAUGUGGGGAUUGCUCGUAAGGGCUCUCCUCAAAUUUCCAGGCUCUACGUCUUUUUACACACCCCAAUAGUAUGAUGUAGAAUGUAGUCAAUGGGCUUCUUAGCCUAUAAAACACUAUACAACUUUCAGCAACGGAUCUCUUGGCUCUC